GAUGAACGCUGGCGGCGUGCUUAACACAUGCAAGUCGAACGGAAAGGCCCUGCUUUUGUGGGGUGCUCGAGUGGCGAACGGGUGAGUAACACGUGAGUAACCUGCCCUUGACUUUGGGAUAACUUCAGGAAACUGGGGCUAAUACCGGAUAGGAUCUCCUGCUGCAUGGUGGGGGUUGGAAAGUUUCGGCGGUUGUGGAUGGACUCGCGGCUUAUCAGCUUGUUUGUGGGGUAGUGGCUUACCAAGGCUUUGACGGGUAGCCGGCCUGAGAGGGUGACCGGCCACAAGGGGCCUGAGAGACGGCCCAGACGCGUACGGGAGGCAGCAGUGGGGAAUAUUGCAGAAUGAGCGGAAGCCUGAGGCGGCAACGCCGCGUGCGGGAUGACGGCCUUCGGGUUGUAAACCGCUUUCGCCUGUGACGAAGCGUGAGUGACGGUAAUGGGUAAAGAAGCACCGGCUAACUACGUG
rnacentral:rRNA from 1 species